AAAAAAAAAAAUGUCCCAAACGCACGAGGAUUGAUUUAUCAUCGCAGCCGGAGUGGAAUGGGAAGAAGCCAUCGCUGCUCGCCUGCUCCCCACGACAGCUCGCCCGCCAUUCGCUUAAUUAAAAUCAUAUAUUGGUGUGAUCAGACGUGGUAAUACCAUUAAAAAAACCCAAAUCCCGUAACAUCCACACGCUCGUUGUUGGAGGCUGUAGCCCAGAGAUGUAGAUUUUCCUUGGGAGAUUUGGGAAGGAUUAUUUUUUAAUGGAAAAAAGGAAAAAAAUUACACCCAGAAAAAAAAAACAAAAAACAAAACCAAAACAAAGAAUGAAAAAGAAACAAAAAGGAAAAAAGCACAACAGAACCAAACCGCAUGCUGGAAUCUGCAUUGGCAGGUGUGCAAAUGUGGAGACUGUAAAAGCAGCAAGUGAGGAUGGAUGAGCUGUUUUCUGGGGUCAUAUCCAACUCCAGAGAAGAAACCCUGGUGAUUUAUAAUUUUUUUCUUGUCUCUGCCUGGAUGGCCACAGUCCUGUCUAGUGAUGAAAGCCCUGUGUUUGGGGAGAACCCUUGUGAGGCUCCAGGAACCAGCUCUGUGCUCCACUGUUUUCAGCCCCUGAGCCCAUAG
rnacentral:lncRNA from 1 species